rnacentral:lncRNA from 10 species
GGGUGCUGUGGAAAUAUGAUUUGGAUCCAUAAUUGAGGAGCAAAUUUUCCCACCUCUUAAGAGUUUUUUUUUUUUUUUUUUAGUGAGGAGGGGGCUGCUGGCAUGAGCCCUUAAACUUGGUUAUAUGUGACCUCUACUCCCUGUGGUUAGAAUUUCAUGGCCAGAGUCAACAAGCUGUGGAUGGGAUUGUUAAAGUUUUGUAGUAGAGCAGAGUAGACAAACAUGCCUGGGUGAGUUCUCUG